rnacentral:misc_RNA from 1 species
CAAAAAAAAUAAUAAUAAUAAUAAUGAACCAGAACAAAACUACCUAUCUUCUAAAGUAACUGUAUUUUAUUGGCGAUUUUGUCGGAGAGACAGUAGGUGUGCAGUUAAAGUAUCAUAGUCGGGAAGUUUUGGGUGCACAUGACUGGCCUUAUUAAAGGAAUUCCCCCUGGAAGGAGUAUCAGCCUUUGAACUGGAUGUCUUCUUGCUUUCACCGCCACCUGAUGAUACUGUUCUUGGAGGAGGAUUAGAUGUUUGCUCCUUGGCUGAUGACUUCAGAUUUUCCUCUCGUGUGGACCUCUUUGACUCUUGAAUCAGCUUAGAUGAUUCUGCUGAUUUACGCUGCUCAAAACUUCCCUGGUUAUCUGAAUUUUUGGACUGAGGAUUAUGUUGAGUAUCAGUAGUGUAGGAACUUCUAGAGGAUGAUUCCUUCAUUAAGGACCUCUUCGAUUGUAAAAUUGGCUUAGAUAUAGCUUGUUCUGUUGAUCUACCCUGCUCAGAACUACCCCAAUAAUCAGAACUCUUUUCCAGGGAAGUAGGCAUCACUUGAGCUUCUAUAGUGUAGGAACUUGAUGAGGAUGAAUUGUGUUCCAUUUCCAUAGCAUAUUCUGGAGUAAUUGAAGAGUCAGAAGGUAACCUGGACUUCAAAUAAGGAUUUCUCUCAGAAAUUGAAAGAGUGUUGCUGGUUACAGUCUGUUUUGUCCGUCUAGACAAUCCAGGACCUGGACGAGUUUUGGUUACUGUCUGAUUAGGAAGUUCCUCCUCAGAAUCACUAUUAUCUAAGUCAAAAUAGCUCCUUAAGCCUGAUUUUUUAUUCACUUCGGGUGCUGCUUUAUGAAUGUAUGGCUCUUGAGUCUGUUUUGCAAGUUCCUCAUCUGACUCAUCAUCAAUAGCAUCAGAAUAUGGAACUGAGGUUCCUAAGCUUCCUUUUUUAUUUAUUUUUGGGUGCACCAUCUGAUUGUAUGAAUCUUGGACUCCAGAACCAAUAUCAACCUUGAGGGAAGAAGACUUCUGCUUAAACCUGGUAGAAUUAUCCUCCUCUGCUUGUUUGGACACUGAAGAACUAUCUGAUGGAUUACUACGGUAUGGUGGAUGCCUAUAACCCUUAUUUCGAAGGCCACCUGUCAAGAUUCCAAAAUUCAACUCUUUACCACUUUCUAAACUCGAUUCUUUAAUAGAUAUGGUAUCCUCCAAGUUAUACACUGAUUGGUAACUUUGAAUAUCAUCCAUGACUGAUGAAAACCCUGAAGUUUUUGGAUUGUCAUCAUCAUUGGAUUUUGAUUGAGAUUUUGUGAACCUGCGAGAAGUUGGAUUGGUAUGCAAGUAACCAUAACUGAACGUCCUAUCAGUUUCAGCACCAACUUCAUUUCCCUGAUUUUUUCUGUUGGAUCCCACAUUUUCCUUUUCUGCUAGUGAAGAUCCUAUAAAGUGAUGUCUCUCAUUCUGGGUUGUCUCAGGGUUACCGGAGCAAGCAAUAUCUUUAUGAGGAAAAGAGCCAGUAUGUGUACUCUCAACAAGCUUAGACUUGUUGAGCUCCCCUUCACUUUCUGAGCUUGGGCCAUCUGACUCAUCAAAAGUCACAGGUAACGAUUCAUCAACUUGUGAAGAAACUGUAUCACUUGUCAAGCCUUCAGAAAAUACACUUGUGGUGUGCCAGCCAGAGGCAAAAGGAGAUUGUGAACUGGACUUUCCUAGUGACUCUUCCAUGUUUAGCCUGGGGCUGUCCGCACUUGUAUUUGCUAAAAGAUGAGAAGAUGAUUUUCUACCUUCUGACAGAUAAUAUGAACCAGAAUCUUGGCCAUUAUAUUCACCCUUGUCAUCAAGCUUAAGUCCAUCAUCAUCUGAACCAGAAUCAUCAAAAACCACAGAACCAUUGUCCAAUGGGUUUGUUUCUUUGCUAUUUCUUUGGAAGUUUCCUUCAUCAAAAAUAGAAGGCUCCCUUACAGCUUCCUCACUAAAUUUCUGGUCACUAAAACUGGAUAAGUGAUCAUCAUUAGGAAUUUGAGUGUGUGAGGAAACACUGCUAGACUGUCUUCUGAUGCUUGCUUCUCCAAAAUAACCAAAAUUUUCAGAUCUCAUUCCAUCAUGCAAUUCACUCACAAGUUCUACCUCAGAGUCACUAGAAUCUCCCUUUAUAUUUGCUUCACCCACUAGGUCACUCUUCUCUAAUUCAGAUAAGUUCUUUCUAUAAUGACUAUCUGCCAUUUGAAAAUCAUUCACCAGUGGGUAAUCAUUUACAGAACUACUGCUGGAUUUUGAGGAAGCGAGCUGACUAGGUCUAUUAGUGCUCUUGAGAUUGUUAAACCUUUCAGCUAAUCCCGCCAUGUCAUCUUGUUCAUUUUCAAAACUUUGUUCAUGAUUCAUGCCAGAAUUACUUCUAUGAGUCGUGUUAUUUACUGGAUCAUUGGCAAGAUGUUCACCUUGCACUCUGGAUGCAGCAUACGUUUGAAUCCCUUCGUCUCUUGAUCUGAAAACAGAGGCCUUCUUUGUUUCUGUUGAAUGUUGUCUGGUUAUCCUUUUAUGAGGGGUUUUAUUUACUGGAUCUUUGGCAAGAUGUUCACCUUGCACUCUGGAUGCAGCAUACGUUUGAAUCCCUUCGUCUCUUGAUCUGAAAACAGAGGCCUUCUUUGUUUCUGUUGAAUGUUGUCUGGUUAUCCUUUUAUGAGGGGUUUUAUUUACUGGAUCU